AUGAUGCUGUGGGAAACGAAAUCGCGAGCGUUUUCAAAGAAUUUGUGCAAUUUCUACUCUCUCGAUCGGGCUGGAGCAAUCUGUUGAUUUAAGGUGUUACAAUGAAAAAAUCUGGCUAAUCAAUCUGUAUGCAGCUCAGGGCGAUGGAAGUCGGCAGAAUCGGUGACGUGCUAAAACCGUUCAACCCCUGUGAGAAGUUGUACCUGCCUUGAAGUCAUUCGAGACAGUUUGUUGCUGGACGCGAAUCGGCAUUUGAUUAUUAUAGUAAUGAUAGGAUUAUGUCAAACUGUACAUAGAGUUGUAAGCAAUAAAAACGGUCAAAUCAAAAUCUGAUUUUAUAUUUAAUUCACAACAAAAUCCGAAAGAUGGCGCCACUGGUCCAAAACAUCACGAUUGACUCAUAGAUGUCGCUAGUGAACGCAUCGCUCCGUUGCGGUACCCUUUCAAAAGGGUACUACGCCAGUACCCUUUCGAAGGGUUUCGCCCCCGUACCCUUUCAAAAGGGUGACGACGGGUAAACUUGAAAAAAGGAUAGAAAGUACCCUUUUAAGGGUUAUUCUGAUUUUGA